CGGCAGAGGAAACGGCUUGUAUCGUCUGGGUUACUUGUUUGGUAUCUUGUUCUCUCGAUGUCCUCCUCCUGGCUGAUCUGAAAGUCACCCUGUAGACCUGGCCUCAUCCACGUGCUUCUGCCUCUGAAGUGCUGGAAUUAAAGGCGUGCGCUGCACUCGAGGUUUGAUACAUUGUUGGAGAGAUGGCUCAGCAGUUAAGAGCACUGGCUGCUCUUCCAGAGGACC